rnacentral:rRNA from 1 species
AUGCUCCGCCUCCGAAGCCGCAUCCUCGCCCACCUCCUCUUUUCUCCCGCCACCUCUCCCCACCGCUCCCCUCAUCCAGCCGCCUCGCACUCCACACUCCGCCGCCUCCUCCUCUCCGCGGCCGUUCCCCCACGCACCGGAUUCGCGGUACAUGAGUACCUCGUCGAGACCUGCGGCCUCACCGAAGCCCAGGCACUCAAGGCCUCGGCGAAGCUCUCCCACCUCAAGUCCCCCUCCAAGCCAGACGCCGUCCUCGCCUUCCUCGCAGGCCUCGGCCUCUCCACCGCCGACAUCGCCGCCGUCGUCCCCAGGGACCCGCGGUUUCUCUGCGCCGGCGUUGAGAGAACCCUGGCCCCCAACGUCCUAGGGCUCGCCGGCCUCGGCCUGUCACGCUCGCAGAUCGCGCGCCUCGUCUCGCUCGUCCCCGGCGUAUUCCGCCGUAGAUCCAUCGCCUCCAACCUACCAUACUACCAGUCUUUCUUCGGCUCCUACGAGAACCUCCUCCGGGUGCUCAACCGGAACAACUCUCUCCUGGGAUGCAGCCUCGACAAGGUGGUCAAGCCCAAUGUCGCCUUCCUGCGGGAGUGCGGGCUAGGUGAUUGUGAUAUCACCAAGCUGUGCUACAAGAACACGGGGAUUCUUAGCAAUAACCCGGAGCGCGCCCGGGCGAUGGCGGCACGUGCGGAAGGUUUAGGCGUGCCCCGCAGCUCUGGAAUGUUCAGAGAAGCGCUGAUGGCUGUUGCAACCAUGAGUCAGGAGAUGAUUGCCGCCAAAGUGAAUUACCUCAAGAACACAUUCAGGUGGUCAGAAGCUGAGGUGUCCAUUGCUGUUCGUCGUUCUCCGAUGGUGCUGGUGAGGUCUAAGAACAUGCUGCAGAGCAAAUCAGAGUUCCUUAUCUCUGAGUUGAGAUUGGAACCGGUAAACAUUGCUCAUCGACCAGUAAUGCUUGGGCUCAGCCUGGAGGGCCGGCUCAGGCCCCGACACUAUGUUAUGAGGUUUCUUAAGGCAAAUGGAUUGCUAGACUGCGACAGGAGCUACUUUUCUGCAGUCAUGGUGACCGAGAAGGUAUUCGUGGAGAAGUACAUAUGCCCUCACAAGGAAGUGGCACCACACCUUGCUGAAGACUAUGCUGACGCUUGCAGAGGGCAAGUGCCAACUAGAUUUAGAAUUGCAUGA